UUGUGAAAGAGCCUGGUGUGGAAAAGGUU
rnacentral:piRNA from 1 species